ACGUCACUCGACCGCAAAGAGGACAUGCAGACUCCACACAGAAGGCGCUCCAACUGGGAAUCGAACUGGAGAACCUCUUAAUGUGAGGUGACAACCCCAUGGUGGUUGUGCAACAUGAGGUGCUGCCAUUUAACCUUGCCACUCAUGUCACGUGAAGUUCAAAAGCACUUACCCCAGUAAGAAAAUAUUUGAGUGUGUGCUGUCCAAAGCAAGUAACAACGCAAGGCUUUAAACAUCAGCUUUGUAGUAUUGUGAAGUACCUCGAGGUUUAAAAUUUUGCCGAAGUCCUCUCAACUAUCAAGAAAACGGACGCAGCUGUCUUCGGUAGACGUACUAUACUCAGGUUCUGAAGUACUUCUAAUCCCAGAAGACAUUGCGCCACAUUAGGAAGUAACGGUGUUGUUGCUUACAGCUGUGUGUGCUACAGGCACGUUUGAUACAUCCUUACCCGCUGUAUUUAUGUACGAACCGUGAAGGCUGUAUUUUGUUUUCAGAAUAAUGGCAGCAGCUGCUGGUGAUGAAAGUGACUUUUUGGAUAGUAUUGCUCUGGCAGAAGAAAGGUUCCAUGGUGAAGGUUAUCAGGAAGGCUACAGUGAAGGAAACCAUGUUGGAAUAACUGAAGGCAAACGGUACGGAUUCAUUUGUGGUACGAAAAUGGGAUUGGAGAUGGCUGGCUAUUAUGGAUUUGCAUUUACAUGGAAAUAUAUUCUACAGAAUACCCCCGACACCAAGAGCAGCAAAAGAAUGAAGACACUUGAUUCGUUAUUGAGAAUGAUUAAAAACUUCCCGUAUGAAGAUCCAUUGUAUGACAAACUGCACGAAGACCUGGAUGCAGUGCGAGCCAAGUUCAAGCAGGCUCACGCUGCCUGUAUUACACCUUCCAAGGUGCAAGAUAGCAGUGCAUAUGGAAGGAAAGAAACUACUGCUGAAAAAAAAAAAAAAACUAGAGGCUUGGAAUGACAGAAAUGAGCAAACUGAAAUGUCACGAUUUACUGUUGAGACCACUCCAGCGAUCAGCUGUCAUGGCACAGAUUGUAUGUUUGGCGCAAAUCAGCUCACUGCUGAAUGUUGUGCCUGAUUUAAAAAUUCGUGCUGAGAAGUCAGAACUCUUAUUUUAAGGCAGUGUAUGAAGAAAAGGCACAGAGUGGUAUUGUGUUGUAGUGUAAAAGCCCACACAAGAUCAGAGGAAAGAGUAACUUGCACAUUUGUGAUGGCGGUAGACUGUUGUGUAGCCCACAAUGAAAAAUGAGAGCUAGUUAGCAGGUCACCGUCAAAGUAAGAGUGGAUAUCACAGGACUGAAGUUAACAAAUGUGACUGCAUGCAAAUGCAGUGUUGUAUACAACAUUAUAAUGCAUUAUCGGUUGUAAAACACUGUUCGGUUAUACUUAAAUGUCAGAUGUCAAAACGUGUCCAGUACAUUGUAAGAAUCAGCAUGAUGUCACAAGACUGAUAUGGGAUGUUUGCUGUUUGAUCAAAGCGCUUCCAGUACAUUGUAAGAAUCAGCAUGAUGUCACAAGACCGAUAUGGGAUGUUUGCUGUUUGAUCAAAGCGCUUCCAGUACAUUGUAAGAAUCAGCAUGAUGUUACAAGACUGAUAUGGGAUGUUUGCUGUUUGACUGGAAAAUGUGAAAGUCAUUUUAACAAGAUUCUUUACACAGAAUGUAACACGAGUCUGAGGGUAACAUAUAACAUCAGAGUAAUGCUUGUUUUUCUCCCAACAUUUAAAGUAAGUUUGUAAAAUUCUGUUUUGACUUCAACAACCACAGUAUAUUUCUGAAACAAUA